CCAGCUUCGUAAAGCUUUAAUAUCAUAGAAAGCCUCGUUCAACUUGAAGUGAAAAAUUCUGGGCUCUUAGAGUUGUUAGAAUAACAGUGGGAAAACAAAUACUGUCUUCCUGUAACUGCUUAUUCAGAUAAGGUGACUGUCUUAGACUAGGUGCAUAAUUAACAGUAUUAUUUAUUAAAAAGUCAGAUUUCAUUAAAACUGGAUUGAAAUGGGAAUAUUUUGCUAAUAUAUCCAAAACAAUAUAGUUACAAUCUGAAAAUUAUUUAUAAGAUUUUAAAGUAGAUAAUCAUCUUCAUGGUCUCUUAACUAUUCAGUUCUCUCUGUAAAAUUUGCUCUCGAUUAAUUACAAAUAAUUACAACUUAGUUAUGUGUAUUUAAAUCCUACUGACAUAUGUGGAUGUUACAUACAUAAUCUAGUCCAGAGCUUGGCAGUGUUAUAACUUUGAUCCCACUGUAUGUUUAGUGAGAGAAGUUCUUGAUUGGUGCAAGGGGAUGAAAUCAGGUUCAAAAUACUUCCAGAGUGGUUUAAAAAAAAAAAAAAAAAAAAGAUUUCUAGUAUUUGCUCUCACUUCAUAAUAUUUAUAUUUCUCACUUGAAAAUGUCACAAUAAAUAUUUAAAACGAAUAAUGUUACACUCAUCCUAACGCUAUUUUAAAUGCAGAAAGACAUCCACAGAUCUUUCAAGGUUAAGAAACCAAUAAAAUAAGAGUGCCCAUUCAAGGUUUAUUUUAUUUUGCUUUAUAUUCAUUAUCAUUCCAAAAAAGCUCUCUUAAUUUGAAAUUGGCUGUAAAGAGGAACAAAAAUAUAGAGAACAACGCAGAGAAUACCAUUUGAAUAUCUUGUUUCCACCUUGCACUUGGGUGCAUGGUCUGUCUUGAAACUCUGACUCAUCUGCCACCUGCAGGCUUUAAGGUGAUAAUCACCCACACAGAGCUAUUUGCACAUCGUGUCUAUCUUAUCCUGUAUCUAAUUAUACCCUUUAUAACAAACUGUUUAGCAUAAUUAGUGGUGUUAUGCUUUACAGGAAUAAAGAUAGGAGCUAUAGGUUAGAAGAUUCAGCUUUCUGAAGGCAUACGUGUACAAACUAGCAAUUUUUCUAUGUCGUCGCAGUAACCAUUUUGAUGCAUUGGUUGAUGUAAAACUAUACAAUGAUUAUUUUAGCAAGUAAAGUAAUGCAGUUUUCAGAAUGUUCAAGCAUUAUAUGUAAUCAUUGCUAAUCAUAAGUUUUACAACCAUGAAAUGGUUUUGGGACUCAUUAAUUGCUAAUGCUCUCACCAAAUAUCUUUGCAGGUAUGGCUGAAAAAUGCUGAAAGGGACUGGAAACCUAUUAUUUAACUGACAAACAGUAGCAGGUACAAAUGACCUUAAUGGGAAAGCUCAGAUUUAUUUAUUUAUUUUCUAGAUGAUCAGAAAGGAUGUUUACAUAACGACCACUCCUUCUUUAUACUCGCACUAAUGAUAAACUGCUUUAAUAUAAGAUGACUGAAUUAUACAAGAAUAGAUACUGAUGUGUAUAUGUGCACACAGUAAAAUACAUCUUAGUUUUCUUUGGGGAUACUUUCUUUGGGGUCUUCAGAGUGUUUAAUGAACACUGGUUGCAGUGGCACUUGAUUCAUUUGCUGGCAGUUUGGUUUACAUUCAUCCCCUCCCUCCUGUCCCCUUCUUAUGUACUUGUAAAAGCUUGAGGAACACAAAAUGCAAUACCCCCAUAGUAGUGUUUGCUGUCAGGCAACAUAAAACCCAAAUGGGUUUUUUAUUCCUGAGAAUAAACUCCUGUCCUCUGCUGGGGAGGAACUCUGUUGAUUUGAACACAAGCAUAGCAUAGACAAAAGAAGUAAUACAGAAUCCAUUAAAGCAGCCAUAACUAUUGAAGCUUUUUCGGUUUUAUGUAUUAAUUGUAAUUCUGUUAAAUUCUCUUAGAGAAAGGAAAAUAUUUACAGGUUCUAUCCUUGUUUAACUGAUAAUUCUGAUGUUUCUAACCUAUAGUAGAGAUGUUCAGAACAUUGUGCAAGUAGAGCUAUUUUUCCCCUGAGCUAUUUAAGAAAAAAAGCAUGAAAAAAACCAAGCAGAGAUUUAACGUUUACUUAUGGUCGUAAAGAGAUGUUCAUGCUUCAGCCUUUCCAGGUAAGUAAUGAAUUUUGUUGAAUUCUGCCACAUAUUACUCCAAGAUAUUUACAGCACAUUUAAGAUAAAGCAUAAGCUUCGCUAAUUUUUCAGUUUCCUAUGGAGUGUUAAGCAGAUUUUUCUCCAUUUCUAAUAGAUAAACAGUACUAAUCAACCCAGUGUAAAACACAAAGAGGUCAACAUUGCAUCCUUUCAGGUCACCAUUGCUUAAAAGGUAUUUGAGUUUCCCUAUUAAGUUUACAAAGGCCAACAUCUGCUGAUGCUCAGAAAUGGUAGAUGUGGUGACAAAGGCUGUAUGGAGAGUGAAGUGAAAACACAAGUAUAUAGACCAUGCAUCACAGCACUAAGAAAAUACAGCACAACAAUACUCCAAAGACCUAUUUUCCCAUUCAUCCCAUGUCUGUUAUUAAUGACAGGAUAUUUCUGAUAACACCAAUAUAAAUUUACUCUUCUCUUCCAUGUUUUUUUUUUUUUUUUUUUUUUUUUUUGUUAUAAAAUAUAUGUAUAAACACAUGGUUUUAAAAUAGCAUAUCACUAUCCAUUUCCAGUCAUGAAAAUGUCAAAGGAGAUAUCGAAGCAGGAAAAUUACAUUAUUCACAUCGAAGGCUUUCAGUUCCAGGAUAUUGUCAUUGAUGCUGCUUCAAUAUUUAAAGCUACAAAACAGAUGCCAUGGCAUUCAGCUGUUAACACUGUUCUUAUUUACGAGGAGGCUAGUUUUGAUGAUAUUUAGCUUGCUGCCUAGAGUUUAACAAAUCAGUGCUAUUCAUGAGCUUCCGUAAACUGAGCUGAUUUAUAAAUUGGCAGACCUGACCAUGCAUCAUAAGAAGUGAGGCAGUUUUAUCCAAAUUAUUAGAAGCUUUUCAGCUGGAUAUCAGGUGUGGCAAAUCAUAUUUUACUAUGUUGAUAUUUUAUCAUUGUGAUAGUCCUUCAUCUCAUAGAAGUUGCGUCUGAGGUUUCUGCAAAGCUGAAGCUGUGGGGAAUAUUCUUUCAGUCAGCCACAGCAUGAUAGAUUUCUAGCCCUGCACUCUAUUUGUAAGCAGCUGACAUGCCCUGACUGUGUGCACUUGUCUGCUGUAGAACUCAGCUAAGACACAGAGCUCGGUUGCUGUGUUCUUCCUUUGUUUAAGUGUUCUGACAUGAUUAAUCUGCUACUUUCUUGGUAUGCUAGUUCUUUACAUUACAACUUUAUGAUUUUAUCAUAGUUUUGGUGUAAUAUUUUGAAGCUUUAUACGCAUACAGAAAAGCAGGAUUAUUUUUACAAGGAGUGCAGUUCUAUUUGUUCUGUGCAGAAAAGCCCAGUUCAAAGGCCGUUGGUGGUAAGGCAAGGACUUGAACAGAUACACUACAUUUACUAAGCUGCUGCACAAAAAUGAACAGUAUUUUUUUACAAAUCUUCUGUUCUUUGAAUUUAUACACAAAUACAUGAAAAUUAAUUGUCCACUACUUCCCUGUUACUAGUAAACACUUUUACAAGAUAUACUCAAGAAAUAUUUUCUGUGGAAGUUUUAAUUCCCUGCAUAAUGCUCAUUUUUACAGCACUCAUCUUUCAUCCGCUGAUAAGAAUGCAUCUGAAAAUCUGUGCUUGAAGGCAGAUGUGUUGUCAGGAGUGACAUUCUCUCUGACCAUAUAAUACAGUUACAUGUUAAUGUAAGCCAGUACAUAACCCCUUCACUGUAGAGCACAUUUGAGAUAAACAUCACCUACAACAGAGAGGGAUGUUGGGAAACUAGAUCCAAGGAGCUGAAUGAAAAUGCAAAACAAUACUGUGUCUUUUUACUUACUACCAAUACUGGAAAUACUGGGUAUACCUGUAGAGAAAGAAAACAAUAAAAAGAUAUUGUUAGCUGUUUACUGUAGUUGGCAGCACUACUACAUCUAAGAUUCUGAACAAAAAAUAUCUCCUCAUUUUCAGAAUAUUGUAUCAAUAAAUAGUUCCAAGCAAUUGCCAGCAUUUAUCCAGCCCUUUCUAAAUGCAGAGUCUUUAGAUUUUUCAGUAUGAGACUGUGGGGACCACUAAAAUGUAUUGACAGAUGGGUAUUUCUGGGACCCAUACCAGAUCUCUGAACUUCACGAAUUUGUUCAGAACAGUUUUGUAUUUGAACUAACCAGCCAUUAGGUUUAAUGCUCUAUAUAAAAGUAUAACUCAUGCAUGUAUUAUGUAGAUCUAGGGGAAAAAAAAUGAACCAGAAGGAUAGAUGCAUUGCUAACUGCUUUGGCCAGCUGUUUAAAUCACUUGAUAGCUUCUGUUGCUUUAACUGUACAUAGCUAUCUUUUUCAUUCUUUACCUGAUGGUUACCUAAAUUAAGGAGAAGAAAAAUAAUUGAGCAAAACAAUCUAAUGCAUUAGGCUUGCCAUAUUGACUAAGCCUCUCAUUGAUUCCUUUUCCUGCUUUCAUUUCAGUUUCUGAGCUGAACUAAUGCAGGGAAACCAUUCAAGAGGCAGGUGAGAUUUACCAGAAGAGGUGAGGUGGGGCUGCUGAGGAGUAAAGCUCUUCUGCUAGCAACGUGGGAUCUCCAGUUGCCUGAUGCAGUUCUGACAUGUAGCAGAACCACUGUAGGAGGCUCCAGCGCAGAAAGCCUCUUUACUGCUUGGGACUGGAAAGGCCAACACAAAAUCUUUCUACAUUCACGUACUACUUCCAGUUUUCUAUUAACUGCUUCAGCACCAUGUUCUGUUUGACCUAAUCCUGUCCAGGACCAGGAAAUGUAGCUGCAAGUAACUUCCUUCGGAUGAUAUUCAAGCAUUUUGGAAUGAUGCUUCUAUUGGAAGAGUUUGUUUGAGUUGCCUACGUGUAUAAGAAUGGAUAAGUUAUGAAAACCUGAAAGUCUGCGUCCAUACUAUGUGUACUGAACAAGUACUGGAUGACAGCAUUUUAUGCCUACAUAGUUUCUUGAAAUCCAGAAGAAAAGUCAAGUGCUUCAAAAGACUAGCUGUAUUUUUAGAACUGAGUACACAGUAAUGGCAAGUGAGAGCGUGGAAUAAAAAGUGGGCGUCAGUGGAAGAUGAGAAGUCCAGGUGUGAUCUCCUUUUAAGGCCACGACUGUUGAAAAGUACUGCCAUUGCUGUACGUUGCUAGAAAGAGAAAAGCACCUGGCAUACUCCAUGCAAGAGCUGCAUCGUCCCAGCUUUGUUCUUAAUGUAGUCAGACCGAAACUCAUUUUGAUGCUUCUCAUAAAGGAAAACACUCUUGUGUUUUGUUUCAGUGUUACCCUUUUAUGAUAAUCUCUGGAUUAUCAGAUACUGAGCCUACUCCUGAAGAUACUGAAGGUUUUUUGUUUUUGUUUUUGGUUAAAUAAGAAAAGUUAGUUUGUAACAGGUUCCUCUUGAGCUAAAUCUAGUGUAGACCCAGAACUCUGUAACACCUUGACAAAACAGCAGUACAACACCUGGUCUUAUUAUCACCUGCUCUUGCGACUGGUAGGCUGGAACAAAUCCACUUGGCUGCUGCCACAAGACUCUCAAGAUGAAGCCUCACCUACUCCCUAUGGCAGCUGAAGUUUCAAAUCUGUUUCCAUGCCUCCUUUGAGCCACAUAGGCAGCGACUCCUUGUGCGAUAUGAUUGAAGGAGUGAUGACCACCAAAAGAGAAGUGAAAAUGGUGAGAAAUGAGCAGCUGGAGUGGUGUGGAAGGAGUAUUUCCUAUGGUGGGUCACUGACAAAACAGACGCCUUCUCAUAUUGCAGCUCUGUCCCCUGUCCCACCUGCUGUCUCUGCACCCUGUUCCUGCCUGUGGAAGGUCAAGGAACUGCUGUGCUGUGCUGUGCUCUGCC